GAUGAACGCUAGCGGCAGGCCUAAUACACGCAAGUCGAACGGUAAAUAUUGUAGCAAUACGAUAUGAGAGUGACGUACGGGUGCGUAACACGUAUGCAACCUACCCAAAACUGGAGUAUAGCUCGGGGAAACUCGAAUUAACCCUCCAUAAGAUCGUGGUGUGGCAUCACACAGCGAUAAAAACUCAGGUGGUUUUGGAU
rnacentral:rRNA from 1 species